GGACGGGUGAGUAAUGCCUGGGAAAUUGCCCUGAUGUGGGGGAUAACCAUUGGAAACGAUGGCUAAUACCGCAUAAUAGCUUCGGCUCAAAGAGGGGGACCUUCGGGCCUCUCGCGUCAGGAUAUGCCCAGGUGGGAUUAGCUAGUUGGUGAGGUAAUGGCUCACCAAGGCGACGAUCCCUAGCUGGUCUGAGAGGAUGAUCAGCCACACUGGAACUGAGACACGGUCCAGACUCCUACGGGAGGCAGCAGUGGGGAAUAUUGCACAAUGGGCGCAAGCCUGAUGCAGCCAUGCCGCGUGUAUGAAGAAGGCCUUCGGGUUGUAAAGUACUUUCAGCAGUGAGGAAGGUGGUGUCGUUAAUAGCGGCAUCAUUUGACGUUAGCUGCAGAAGAAGCACCGGCUAACUCCGUGCCAGCAGCCGCGGUAAUACGGAGGGUGCGAGCGUUAAUCGGAAUUACUGGGCGUAAAGCGCAUGCAGGUGGUUUGUUAAGUCANAUGUGAAAGCCCGGGGCUCAACCUCGGAAUUGCAUUUGAAACUGGCAGACUAGAGUACUGUAGAGGGGGGUAGAAUUUCAGGUGUAGCGGUGAAAUGCGUAGAGAUCUGAAGGAAUACCGGUGGCGAAGGCGGCCCCCUGGACAGAUACUGACACUCANAUGCNAAAGCGUG
rnacentral:rRNA from 1 species